rnacentral:miRNA from 1 species
GAGGCUAAGUCAAAGAUAUAUCUACUUGUCAAAAAAAGGUGGUUUUAAAGUGCUAUGAGGCAUGUUUGACAAGUAGAUAUAUCUUUGACUUAGCCUA